UACGUAUGGUGCAAGCGUUAUCCGGAUUUACUGGGUGUAAAGGGAGCGCAGGCGGCACGGCAAGCCUGAUGUGGAAGCCCGCGGCCCAACCGCGGGACUGCAUUGGGAACUACCGGGCUGGAGUGCCGGAGAGGUAGGCGGAAUUCCUAGUGUAGCGGUGUAAUGCGUAGAUAUUAGGAGGAACACCAGUGGCGAAGGCGGCCUACUGGACGGUGACUGACGCUGAGGCUCGAAAGCGUGGGGAGCAAACAGG
rnacentral:rRNA from 1 species